CGGGACACGUGGUAUCCUGUCUGAAUAUGGGGGGACCAUCCUCCAAGGCUAAAUACUCCUGACUGACCGAUAGUGAACCAGUACCGUGAGGGAAAGGCGAAAAGAACCCCGGCGAGGGGAGUGAAAAAGAACCUGAAACCGUGUACGUACAAGCAGUGGGAGCCUCUUAAUGGGGUGACUGCGUACCUUUUGUAUAAUGGGUCAGCGACUUAUAUUCUGUAGCAAGGUUAACCGAAUAGGGGAGCCGAAGGGAAACCGAGUCUUAACUGGGCGUUAAGUUGCAGGGUAUAGACCCGAAACCCGGUGAUCUAGCCAUGGGCAGGUUGAAGGUUGGGUAACACUAACUGGAGGACCGAACCGACUAAUGUUGAAAAAUUAGCGGAUGACUUGUGGCUGGGGGUGAAAGGCCAAUCAAACCGGGAGAUAGCUGGUUCUCCCCGAAAGCUAUUUAGGUAGCGCCUCGUGAAUUCAUCUCCGGGGGUAGAGCACUGUUUCGGCAAGGGGGUCAUCCCGACUUACCAACCCGAUGCAAACUGCGAAUACCGGAGAAUGUUAUCACGGGAGACACACGGCGGGUGCUAACGUCCGUCGUGAAGAGGGAAACAACCCAGACCGCCAGCUAAGGUCCCAAAGUCAUGGUUAAGUGGGAAACGAUGUGGGAAGGCCCAGACAGCCAGGAUGUUGGCUUAGAAGCAGCCAUCAUUUAAAGAAAGCGUAAUAGCUCACUGGUCGAGUCGGCCUGCGCGGAAGAUGUAACGGGGCUAAACCAUGCACCGAAGCUGCGGCAGCGACGCUUAUGCGUUGUUGGGUAGGGGAGCGUUCUGUAAGCCUGUGAAGGUGUACUGUGAGGUAUGCUGGAG
rnacentral:rRNA from 1 species